rnacentral:tRNA from 1 species
GGGGUUGUGGCUCAGUGAUAGAGUGCUCACCUAGCAUGUGUGAAGCACUGGGUUCAAGCCUCAGCACCACA